UCUAGCUAAGAUAGCCAGUUCUUGAUCUUGCAACAUUUUUAGUUAAAUUGUAAAUACUUCCGCCAAUAAGCACGCAAAUUGUAAAUGUUAAAAGAAGU